CUAACUCAUCUGGGAACUGUUUCUCUGUUCUGUUCCCAGGUGAUGAUAAAACGAUGUGAUCGGCCAUAAAAACUCUGUACCCUGGCUGUUCGAGGCCACACUCUGAUCAAGAGUGUUGGUCCCGAUCGGUCGGCCUUGCCUCUCAUUGCAAUAAACUUUGUUGUGACUGUCACUGGUGCCCAUAGCAUUCUGUUUCAGGAGUCGUGUGGAUGCAACAUUCAGUGCAUUGGCCGGGAAAGUGAAAGGUCUGAAACAGGGCCCUUUCCUCGGACUGCUCCGCCGACCCCUGGGAGGAGGCUUGGGAUUGGGAGAGGUAAGGAAUUCUUGGAGCACGCCAUUUGAAUGACUCAGGAGGGUCUGCUGGACGCGGCUAUAGACCCAGAGUCAGGGAUCCUACCGGGACGCCGGUGGGCCCCAUUUGGUUUGGUUUUUGUCAAGAGGGAUCCUAUUUUCAGGUGGCUGCCACGGCCUACUGGCCUUGAGAUCUCGAACUUGUGUUUUCUUCGUGUCUUAAUUGUCUUCUUCCUGUUGACUGUCUGUGCGUCCUUGUCAGUUCUGCCUAUCUUUGUCAUGGGUCAAAAUCAGAGCACCCCCACCCCUCUGAGUCUCAUACUAACCCAUUUCCAGGACUAUAAAAAAGCUGCCUCAGUGUUUGGCCUCCACGUUAAGAAGCCAGUCCUUCGAACUCUCUGCGAGGUGGAAUGGACCAGCUUUCAGGUCGAAUGGCCUCCACAGGGGACCUUUGACCUUACUUUGGUAUAUAAGGUUCAUGAUAUUGUGUUUUCUAGGCACGAAGACCAAAUCCCAUACAUUGGAGUGUGGAGAACCCUCAUUGAAAACCCUCCAGAUUGGUUAAAACUUCUCCUUCCCCUUCGCCCUCGCCUCCCUAAAGUACAGGCUUUGCUGCUCAAAGGCCGCCCAUUUGGAGCUCAGAAUAAGAAUCUUGAUGGGACUAAGCAGCCACCCCCUCUAUCAUCUGCACCGGAGGAAGAAAAAGAAACUUAACCACUCGCCGCCCUAUAGUUCUCGCCCAAAGAAUAUGGGUCAAGAUGCUUCAGAUCAGGAGGCAAGCCCGAGUCGGGACACUCCCCUGAGCCCGUCUCACACCUGGUCAGGGACUCCCUUCCAUCCCCCUCCCGCUGCCCGACCCCUUCGUCCAAGGCCACCCCUGCAGGGUGAUGUCCGACCCUUUAUGACUUAUGUACCCUUCUCCACUAGCGACCUUUACAAUUGGAAGCUUCGAAACCCCUCGUUCUCAGAGAAACCCCAAGCAUUAAUUUCUCUCCUUGAAACUAUAUUUGUGACCCAUCAGCCAACCUGGGAUGACUGCCAGCAGCUGUUGCAAGUUCUCUUCACCACUGAGGAGCGAGAUAAGAUCCGUCACGAGGCUCAGAAAUUAGUGAUGGGACCAAACGGGCAACCCACUGAGGAUCCCGCUGUAGUCGAGGAAGUCUUUUCCUGAAAAUUGGGACCCAAACACUCCUCACGGUAGGCGAUCAUUGACCCUAUUUCACCAGACUCUACUGGGAGGUCUCCGAGCGGCCGCCUGCCGGCCCACAAACAUGUCUAAGGUAACAGAAGUCAUUCAGGGGACCGAGGAAAGCCCCUCGGUCUUCUUAGAAAGGCUCAUGGAGGCGUACCGCACCAUUACCCCUGUAGGCCCUGAGGCACCUGAAAACAGAAGGGCAUUAAAUCUGGCCUUUGUCUCACAGGCAGCCCCAGACAUUCGGAAAAAGUUAUAAAACUUUGAUGGGUUGAAAGGAAAAAAUUUAUCUGAGUUAGUUGAAAUAGCCCAAAACCUUUUUAACAGUAGGGAUUCUCAGGAAGAAAGACAGACACAAAAAUUGACUAGGGUGGUAACGCCCGUCCUGGAUGCCCGAGAGGGAAGAGGACCCCAAACGCCCAAAGAAUUCUGGUCUGGGCAAAAGAAAAAAGACAGACAAAGGGUUAGAGCGCCACUAGGAAAAAACCAAUGUGCAUAUUGCAAACAAGAGGGACACUGGAAGAAGGAUUGCCCCAACUUAGCCCAACGCAAAACUCGGCCACCCCUGGCGUCGAUAAUGAAAGUUGAUUCCGACUGACGGGACCACGGCUCAGUGGCCCCUUCUGAGCCUUUGGUUACUGUUAAUAUAGGGGGCCAGCCUAAGACUUUCUUGGUGGACAUUGGGGCAGCCUUUUCAGCUCUAAAACAAGAUCCUGGUCCCACCAGGCGAGGAGCAACGCUGGUGCAAGGAGCGACUGGGUCCCAGACUUGUAAAUGGACCACUGAACGACAAGUAGAUUUCGGCCGUAAAACUAUCACACGUUCUUUCCCAAUCAUGCCUGAAUGCCCCUGCCCUGGAUUACUAGGUAGAGACCUACUACAUUAACCAACGGCUUCUUUGAAAUUCACUAAAGGGGUUACGCAUAUUAAAGUCAGCCAGGAUGGCCCGACAACCGUAAUGGUGACUGUGCCACUUGGGGGAGAGGACCUGCUCGCUCUGGUGCCUAAUGAAAGUGUCCAUGCAGUCGAUCCCCUCCUCAAAAGCCUCCAGGCGGGCUUCCCCCAGGUAUGAGCUGAGACCAAUCCACCCGGGGCUGGCGAUUCAUCAAGCUCCGAUAAUAGUGGAACUUAAGGCAUCCGUGCUUCGGGUAAGACUAAUAUCCCACGUCCCGGGAGGCUAGGCGGGGAAUCGCCGUUCACAUCAAGUGUUUGCGCGACUCCGGCAUUUUGAUCCCAUGCAAGUCGCCAUGGAACAUUCCGCUUCUCCCUGUCCGGAAGCCUAACUCAUCCGAUUUCCGGCCAGUUCAGGACCUAAGAGCAGUAAACGCCAGGGUAAUGGACAUUCAUCCCACUGUACCCAACCCUCAUACUCUCUUAGUUUGCUUCCCCCUUCUCAGGUGUAUUAUAUACAGUUCUGGACUUAAAAGAUGCCUUCUUUGCCAUCCCGCUGGCCCCACAAAGCCAGCCACUAUUUGCAUUUGGAUGGACUGAUCCUGAAGAGGGAAAAGCCGGACAGCUCACCUGGACGCGACUCCCCCAGGGAUUUAAAAAUUCUACUCUUUUUAAUGAGGCCCUGCACCAGGAUUUAGAGCCAUUUCGAAUCUCCAACCCGCAGGUAACUCUAUUGCAAUAUGUUGAUGAGAUCUUGUUGGCUGCCCCCUCUCAUUUAGGAUGCCUGAAGUGCCACCGAAGGACUCUUGAGUCUUCUGCGAAAACUGGGGUACCGAGUGUCACCCAGAAAAGCGCAGAUCUGUCGUGCUGCGGUGACCUAUUUAGGUGACAACCUUAAAUAAGGUAAGCGCUAUCUCGGUGAACAAAGAAUUCGGGCUAUACUCGAUAUUCCUCAGCCUAGAACUUGCAAACAAGUCCGCGAGUUCCUUGGGGCGGCAGGCCACUGCAGACUAUGGAUACCUGGCUUUGCUGAACAGGCAGCCCCUUUGUAUGCCGCUCUCAAGGGGCCUCCGGAGUCCUUCACAUGGGGGGAGACUCAAACUAAAGCCUUCCAGGCCUUACGAGAUGCUCUCACGACCCCACCGGCCUGGGCCCUGCCAGAUCCCACCAAGCCAUUCCAUUUGUUUGUAGCCGAAAAAGGGGGGGGGGGUAGCCAAAGGAGUUCUGACUCAGCGCCUGGGAACUUGGCACCAACCGGUGGCCUAUUUAUCCAAACAGCUGGACCCAGUUGCUUCCGGGUGGCCCCCACGCAUUCGACAAAUUGCUGCCACCGCGCUCCUAGUUAAAGCCGCAAACUAACCUUGGGGCAGGCAUUGUCUGUCACGGGGCCCCAUGAAGUGGAGGCUUUACUGAGGGCUCCCCCAGAGCGAUGGCUGUCAAAUGCUCGGAUUACCCAAUAUCAAGCAUUGCUACUCGACCGGCCCCGAAUACGUCUUUGUGCCCCCGCGGCCUUAAACCCAGCCACCUUGCUGCCCAAAGGACAAGGUCCCCCUCUGCACUCUUGCCCAGAAACCUUGGCGAUGAUCUCGUCCCUCCGCUCCGAUCUUACGGACGUUCCCUUACAGGACCCUGAUAUCAACAGGACCCUGAUAUCAGCAUGUUUUCAGGAGGCAGUGGUUGUGUGUUUCAAGGGCAAAGGCGUGCCUGCGCUGCAGCGAUGACAGACCGCGAGGUUCUAUGGCAACAGACCCUUCCCCCCGGGGAACUUCAGCCCAGCGCGCAGAGCUCAUCGCGCUAACAAAAGCCCUAAAACUCGAAAGAAACAAGGCAGUUAAUAUUUAUACGGACCGCCGCUAUGCUUUUGCCCCCACCCAUGUGCACGGAUCCAUUUAUCAAGAGCGCAGCCUCCUCACGACGGAAGGCAAGGCCGUCAAAAACAAAGCUAAAAUUUUAGACCUUCUGGCAACCGUCUGGGAACCUGCAAAACUGGCGAUCAUUCGAUCAUUCACUGCCGGGGACAUCAAAAAGGCGACUCCCUAGAGGCAGUCGGAAACCGCCUGGCUGAUGCAGCAGCCCGAGAAGCUGCCCUAACUAAAAGUGAAAGUGCCUUGCAGCUACCGAUCUAGCCCAGUUGCACUCCUAAAGAUUUGGAGUGGGUUUCCAGAAAAGGGGGGAAGGAAGAUGCCGGGACAAAAGUGGUUUCAGGAUCCUGAAGGAGACUUAGUCUGGGUCAAGAGGCACGAGCCUAAAACCCUGGAGCCACGCCGGAAAGGACUGCACACUGUGAUCCUGACUACACCCGUGGCUGUGAAGAUAGACAGUGUCCGAACCUGGAUUCAUCAUUCUCAGGUCAAGAAAAACUGUGUGAAGGUGGGAACACCCCAGACUGAUACGGAACCAGAUAACGAACACAAUGGAAAGUCCGAAGGCACCCAGAGGAUCCUUUAAAGCUAAGACUCAUGCAGGCAUAAUAAUAAUAAUUGUCUGGGUUUGUAUAAUGGUAAGCGUGGAGGACUGUACAGAAUUGCAUCCCCUAUCUUUUUGGCCAUACCAAGGGGAACUCAGGGACACUGUCACAGGGUAGGUGAUAGCAUCUAAUACCUCUUCCUUGUGCCUUGUUUUUUGUUUGAUUUAUGCGACUUGGUGGGGGACUCAUGGGGGACUUUAAUUACUAAUUAUAAACAGCCAACGGGCUUUGCUCCUCUGGUCCCCAAAAACCCCUAUAUGGUUACGUAUGGAUGUGGACACAGGGAUCAAGAACAAAAAUUGGCUGACAUACCAGGGUUAUACAGUUGCCCUGCAAAUAGAAACGUCGAAUGCGAAGGAAAAGGCCAAUACCAUUGUGCAAAAUGGGGUUAUGAAACGCUGGCUCCCUGGCUGGCGGGACAGGGCCAUGACCCUUCUUAACCACCCUCCUUAGAACUCCAGAUCCCAAAUGUAAGACCCAAGGAAAAUGCAACCCAACAAAAAUAUGUUUAAAAAAGGUUUCUAGUUCCCGUACCUUUUCCUCUUCCUGGGACACUGGAUACGCUUGGGGUCUCAGGAUGUCCGCUCCAAGAGUUGACAAAGGCAUUUCCUUUACUAUACAAAGGGUUAAAAAAAAAAAAAAAACUCCAUUCAAUCCGGUAGAGCCAAACAAGGACAUGAUUUUACACCC